rnacentral:rRNA from 1 species
AACGAACGCUGGCGGCAUGCCUAACACAUGCAAGUCGAACGAGACCUUCGGGUCUAGUGGCGCACGGGUGCGUAACGCGUGGGAACCUGCCCUUAGGUUCGCAAUCACUCCCCGAAGGGGGUCCUAAUACCGGAUAAUCUCUUCGCACCAAAGAUUUUUCGCCUUUGGAUGGGCCCGCGUUGGAUUAGCUAGUUGGUAGGGUAAAAGCCUACCAAGGCGACGAUCCAGAGCUGGUCUGAGAGGAUGAUCAGCCACACUGGGACUGAGACACGGCCCAGACGCCAACGGGAGGCAGCAGUGGGGAAAAUUGGACAAUGGGCGAAAUCCUGAUCCAGCAAGGCCGCGUGAGUGAUGAAGGCCUUAGGGUUGUAAAGCUCUUUUACCCGGGAUGAUAAUGACAGUACCGGGAGAAUAAGCUCCGGCUAACUCCGU